AUGUCGUCGCCGAUGAAGCCUGGAGUCGUCGGUAGCAUCGCCAGCCGGUGGCGCGAGCUCCAUGGCGCUCGGUCGUGGGCCGGGCUCCUAGAUCCGCUGGAUGCCGACCUCCGGGAAUUCCUCAUCUCCUACGGCGAGCUUGCAUCGGCCAGCUACGACGGGUUCAACAACGAGGAGCGCUCGCCGCACCGCGGGGCCUGCGUGUACAGCCGCGCCGACGUUCUGGCCGCCUCCACCGUGUCCCACCCUGAGUACUACAGCGUCACAAAGUUCCUCUAUGCGGCCUCUGGGCGUCCGGACGCCACCGGGCCGCUCGAGUCCAACUGGAUGGGUUUCGUAGCCGUGGCGACGGACGAGGGAGUGGCGGCCAUGGGGAGACGCGACAUCGCCGUGGCAUGGCGCGGCUCCGUGCUGCAGUCAGAGACGGCGAACGAUGGAGACAUCUUGCAGGUGUCCGCGGCGCCGGUGCUGGGUUCCUACGCAGCCACCAACGCGGGCGCAAUGGUGCACCGUGGAUUUCUGUCCGUGUACACGUCCAGUGACAGAGACUCCAUGUACAACAAGGCCAGCGCUAGAGAUCAGGUCCUCGAGGAGGUGCGGAGGCUAAUGGAGUUGCACAAGGACGAGGUCACUAGCAUAACAGUCACCGGCCAUAGCCUCGGUGCUUCGCUCGCCAUCCUCAACACCGUCGACAUGGUCGCCAACAGCAUCAAUGUCCCCCUAGACUCCUCCAAACAGCUGCCACGUCCUGUGACCGCGAUCAUGUUCGCGAGCCCACAGGUGGGGAACAACAAAUUCAAGUCCGCAUUUGCCUCGUUCCGCGACCUACACGCAAUCCAUGUGAAGAACGCCCCGGACAUCAUCCCAACACUCCCAGGGCCGCUAUUAGGGUAUGUGGAUGUUGCGACGGCGACCGUGCCUAUCAACACUAACCGAUCCCCCUACCUGUACCCAAAUAACAGGGAUACCUAUCACAACCUUGAGUGCUACCUGCACGGCGUCGCCGGGGAUAAGGGCGAUGGCAUGGACUUCAAGCUGGUGGUGGACCGUGAUGUGGCGCUGGUCAACAAGAAAGUCAAUGUUCUAAAAGACCAAUACCCGGUGCCGGCAAACUGGUAUGUGGCAAAGAACAAGUGGAUGGUCAAGGGCACUGAUGGCCACUGGAAGCUUGAUGACUUCAAGGAAGUCUAA
rnacentral:rRNA from 1 species